rnacentral:rRNA from 1 species
GAGGAAUGUAUAGCAAUAGCUACUUGCAACAUUGUAGAUAUGAUGCAAGAUCAACGUAGUUGAAUAAAAUUCUAGGUAGAAUUUGAUGAUGACAAUAUCUGCCUAUGUGUCUUGACCAAAUUACGUGCCAGCAGUCGCGGUAAUACGUAGAAGACUAGUGUUAUUCAUGUUUAAUCGGUUUAAAGGGUACCUAGACGGUAGAUCAAGCUUUCAAAUAAAAAAAAAAGGACUAAUUUACUAGAGUUACUUAUGAGGGGGUAGUAAAGUACUGCUGGUGUAGAGAUGAAAUUCUGUCAUACCUCUUUUCAAAAAAAAUAUGGCACAGGUAUAGGCGAAGGCAUCCCCUUAUGUGAUAACUGACGUUGAAGGACGAAGG